GAGAAGGGCCAUGUGAACUGUCCCAAUGAUGUAAGCUGGGACUAGCAGGUAGUGGGAGUGGGACAUUGGGGCUCCAGGACAGAGGGCUUAGGUUUGGGCCUUCAGGCAACAGUAGAGGUUAAAACAGUGAAUGUCCUGUUAGGAAGUAACUGUCUUCAGUAUGAUUAGCCUAUCUUUGACCCUGGGGUUCUAUAGGGUCUUCACAUAUAUAGCACUUCGACAAAGAGGACUUCAACCUGGGGACCCAUAUUACCUACCCUGCCCAAAAUCCAGGACUUUAGGGACCUGCCCUCAGAGAAGCCCCAGAGUGCUCUGGGGUUGAGGUGGGAUGCCCCUUGUGUAGAGUUGUGGGAGGGCUUUCUCCACAGCUGUCUCCUGCCUGCAGUGCUGUGAAGCCAUCUACUCCAGUGUGUCCGGCCUCAAGGCCCAUUUUGCCAGCUGCAGCAAGGGGGACCACCUGGUGGGGAAGUACCGCUGCCUGCUGUGUCCCAAAGAGUUCAGCUCUGAGAGUGGUGUCAAGUACCACAUCCUUAAGACCCACGGAGAGGUAUGAGAGUUACCUUCUGGACCUGUAGGCCUGGAGACUGGCCUUAGGGGUGGUUAGUAGAGAACAAGUGGCUGAGAUGGUGUACACUGAGAAAUCUGGUGUUUUCUUCUCUAAAUAGGGUCCGCUUCCCCUGAAGUGUCAAGAGCGUGGGGGUGAUAAAUCUUAAAAAAAAAAAGGCUAGUCUGGGGUGCCCCAGGUUGAUACCCAACCACUGAGUGCAGCCUCCCUUGGCAGGGAAAACCCUGUUUUCAGCCACUUCCUAGCAGCUGUAUGCCCCCCCCCCCCCAAAAAAAAGGUUUAGAUGGGUUGGAAAAAUGGUUCAAUGGUUAAGAGUACCUCUAACUCUUCCACAGUUUGGUUCCCAGCACCAAUGUCAGGAGGCUCCCUAGCUUCCACAGCUAUCUGCAUACACAUACACAUAUCUACAUACAGUUACACAUGCCAAGAAAACAAAAAAGAUUCCUUUUGUUUUUGUUU
rnacentral:lncRNA from 1 species